CAUCAUAAUGGAUGGGUUUGUCCUUUAUGUGUUUGAAUUUCCAGAUACUUCUUUGUUCAUUUGUAAGCAUGAAAAUGAUUUUCUUGCCAAAUAUGGAUGUUUGGUGUUACUCAAUAUUUUUCUUCUAUUCAAGAAUAAUCAAGAGUAGUAUUGACAAACAUGGUUGUUCACUAGGUUCUGAUUACAUUGUUGCUACAACAAUUAUUUUUGGCCCCAUUUACAGAUGAGGAAAAUGCAACUCAGCAAUGCACUGCUCCAAGGUUAAGAUGGCUUGAAGAACUCAUUUCAGCAUUUAUUGUAAGGCAGAUCUAAUGGUGAUGAACUCCCUCGGCUUUUGUUUGUCUGGGCAGUGCUGAAGCUGAAAUUUGUGGUCUUUCCCUGGAUCACACAUGUGAGCCAGCUUUCUGUGCAUGCUCACUAUCCAUUUGCCAAAGCUCGCUCUCACCGCCUUUGGAAGCACACACAGGGAGCUGGCCACAGGGCGAGCUGGCCACAGAGUGGAGGAUUGUGUAGGUGAGUGUGCUGGAACUUCUGCUGGACUCCUGGACUUCCACAAAGGCUCUGUCUUUGUGGAUGAUGGUCUAAGACAAUGUUCUCCAAGAGCUCCUAGAGCAUGGCUGAGAGGUGCUGGAACCGGUCCAGGGGCCACUGCAGGGUCCAAAGCCAGGACUCAGAGGAAAGCAUCCUAAGUGAAGUAUCUUGAUGUCAGAAGGCUCAUUUCUUGGACUUUCUGGAGACAGUCAUCAACUAUCUGAGGAUGUCAGGCAAUCCUUCCAGACACGCUGAAAAGGAGCCAGCCAAGAGGCCAGCUUCCCAGGGAAUCUAUCCAGG
rnacentral:lncRNA from 1 species